rnacentral:sRNA from 1 species
CACCACUCCUGUCAGUUAAUACUUCUGAAAAUGUUUGAAGAAAGCAGUUUUUGGUGACCUCUUAAUGUAGUUUCUUCAUGUGUUUAGAACUGAAAAUUCGCCUUUCUUUAGUAUUUAUAUAUGCUAGUCUCUGUUCAGUUGUACGAACGGGUAUGUCUGUGAUCUGCAGUUGUCACUUUUAGUCAUUCUCUGGGCUUGUUAAUUUAUAACUCUGGCUCCUGAGAAACUACUGUUAAUGAAAAUUUUGAAAUCCCUCAAAGAGCUAAUGAAAUGUUCAGCUCUAAAUUCACCUCCAAAAAAGGGGUGGGAAUGAGCUUUUGGAUGAAAUAUUCAGUGUCCUCAGAUGCCCUGAGGAGAAGGGCGAUCCAUUGCCAGCUGCCCCUUGUACUUGUGGCCUCUUUGUCUUGUCUGUCCUGGGAAUGGGUGGAGAGUUAGUGUGGGUGUGGUCUAGGCAGUGAUCGGGCAUCAGGGAAACUGGGCUCCAGCUGGGACCCUCUGCUUUACACAGCGGAGCUGCUGCCUAGCUAUCUCUUGCAGGACAAAACUGGUCUUCUUUGCAGUCCCUGGCGUGGUGUGAAGCCUCUCUCCCUUCCUAAGGCCAAUUAUUUGAAAUGAUCAAGAGCUCUUUACGUACAGACAGGUUGAGUUCCAAUGGUUUGUUUCAGAGACAAUUGUUUUGAACUUGAAAACAAUUUUUCCCUGUAGUAGGAGCAGUAAAAGAAAGAAAAUGCUCAUAGAAAUCUCUUUGAGUUCCAGUUUAGAUGUUCUAAUGUACGUCUGCAAAAGAAAGCAGCAGAAUAGCCGACUUCUGAUUUGGAAGCAAGGAUAGCCUUCACAGCUGAAAACCAAACAAAGAGAACCAUGUGAAAUGGAACAGACGCUGGCUCGGGCUCUAUCUGCUUUUCAUUUGAGUAGACACCCGAGGGAGUGUUGCUGGGCUCAGCAUUUACCUUCAAUCAGUCACUAAAGGCCUCCACUCCUCCCACUGAACUGCGGGGCUCAGUGUUCAUGUCAGGACCCCCACCCCCAGCCCCCCAAUGGCGCAGCACUGCCUACUCAUAGUUGUUCCGCUUUCAAAAAGUCAUCAUUGAUUCUCGAAGAAAAGGAGAAAAUGAUGAAAUCUAAAAGCACAGGAGGUGGUCCAGAGAUUCAAAAGCCCAGGAGACCACAGAGUCAGCUGACCCACUCUACGCUGCCAAGGACAGACUCACUCCUCAGCCCUCUUCUCUGGGCUCAUCUGACAAGAAGAGCACGGAAGCAGCAGCCUUUGCCAGAAAUGGGUCAGCAGUGCUCUAAAGGAGAAAAUGGCAACUGGCAGUUGGCCUAAGUGGCCCACAGACAGAGUAGAGAUUGAUGGCCUACACUUGGGGAAGCAGAGAUCAACUGACUCAGGAAAGUACAUAAACUACCACCACCUUGGAGGAUUCCCAGGGAAGGAGGCUGAGGCCCAGCUUGUUUGAUAAAUGGAGUCUUGAGUUGCCAUAAAUAAUAGAAAAAAAUGAUUUUUCUUAUUUAUGUUUACAGGCUGGGGAAACCUGGACUUAUGUCAGGCUCUGUGUGUGUGCUGGGAGUUGCUGUGUUGACUGGCGUUUGCAAUUAGCUGGUGCUUAUUGACCAUCCUGAAUGGGAUACGUCCUCUCCAGUAGUAGCGACCAAUGGUCUUAUGAAUCGACAAAGCACAACAAUGUUUCCAACGUGCAUUGGCUGCUGCCCCCAUCCUUGCUUCAUGGCAUUCCUAGAAAUGGCCCUAUAGCAGAAAAAUGUUGAGGAAUGAAUCAUCUUCUUGUCUCCUGCCAGAGGAUAGCCAACAUUUACCUUCCCUUUCUACCCAAUUGUGUUCCUGAAUCUACAAGGCAGAAUGUUGACAGGUUGACUUGAGACCCAUGAAUCAACAGGGAAAUUACUGAAUGAACGAAUCUAUAAAGUGAAAUAGAGGGUUUUGUCAGCACGAUCCGGGCAGCAGAUGGAUGGAAUCCGAGAAGGGAUAGCGCUAAGGCCUGACUGCACAUUUUUCUUUUCUGAGUAUUAAUAAUUGAGAGUAGCUUAAUCUGCGAGCUCUCCCUCCAAGAACCACAUAAAAAAAUCUUGGGCUGAGGCAUUGGCUCUGUUAGUAAACUACUUAAUUUGCAGAGGACCAGAGUUCAAUCCUGAGCAACCCAUGUAGACAAAGCUGAGUGCGGUGGUGGGGUGUGAUUCCAGUGUUGGGGGUGGGGGUCAGAGACAGGUAGACCCUGGGCUUCACCAGCUAGUCAGCUUAACCUACUUGGUGAAUCUUGGAUAAAGUGAGAGACUUGUUCUCAAAAGGAACAGACAAACAAAAAACCCUCCUCCCGAGGUGCGUAGCACCUGAGGAACAACAAUGUGCACAUAGGUACAUGGCGUGCAUGCUAAAAACCGGAAGAACUUGAUACAUGUGGGCUGCGAAGAGUGUUUGGAAUAGAUUGGUGUAGAGAGGAAGGAGAGCCCAGUGGGAAAGAAGGUAGCAGUUAGCUGAAGUAUGGGCAGGAGGUUCUCUUUAAAGAGAAAUGCAAACGGGGUUGUUGUCCCCUCCCUACAGAUGCCUAUGAAGUACUUCCUGUAUCCUAACUACUACUCUAGGGCCUUCAGCGAGGAAACCUUGCAUUUGUGUUACAGACAUACCCUCCUCAGAGCUUUGAAUAGCCAAGACACCACUCCCCGCAGGAGCAGCAAACCAGGCCAACAGCAGUGCCCCUUUUCCCUUGACUUCUUCUCUGCUGCCCACUCUGCCUGGCAGUCAUGCUGACUGGGACCUCAGUGCUGUGUCAUCAUGGAAAAGAAGCCUCGGGGAUGGCUCCAUGAACACUGGAUUCUUGUGCUUGGAACCCUGACUGCCUGUCCUGUGCCCCCCGCCUGCAGGCUCAGGAGUCUGAGACCAACCCAGACCUGGCCUCUCUGUCGGGAACUAAGGAGUCUCAAAAUGCAGGUUGAACACUGAUGAACCAGUGCAUGCCUCUGACAUUGUGUUUCUAUUCUGCUAGCUGGGUUUCUGCUUUGACCUAUGACCCGGAUGAGUGAUUGUCUUGUCACCAUGGACUUCUGUCCCUGCCCCGAAUUUUACUUCGACUGUUUUUCUUAAUGAAAAUGUCCAUAGUCCCUGGAGAGGCAACCUGAAGACCCUGAUUAUAUUACAGACAUCACUACUGAAUAUAUCAUCCCUGGUUCAUAUCACCUAGUAAGGUAUAGCCACUGAGACUUCCUUCAGUGAAUUGGAGCAGUUCCUCAGGAAAGGCCCAGGGGCGUGUACCAGUCCCAAUCCUGCUUUUCCUGUGUGUCUAUUCUUGUGUGUCUGUUCCUGUGUGUCAUGCCUUUUCAACCUCCUAGAGCAGCUGGUACCUUGGUUCCCUCCAGCAUAUCUUUGAAGCUCAUCCCCAAAGUCUAAAUUUUAAAUAAAGAACCUUGAGCAAAGAAGGAACAUACAACUGGGAAAUACACUUUACGAAGAAGACAUAAAUCUUUAGUGUUACAUAUUUUGCCAGAUGUCUUCCUUGCUUUUCUUAGGGCUGGAUCCAUGUUCAAAGAACACAUUGAAUCCUUUAAGCUUUUAAGCCAACUCAAAAUUCAGAAGAAAAUUGGAAGGGAACUAUUUUUUGUUUAGCAAUGGUUUGCCUUUAGGAUGGCACUUUUGUGACUUUUCCCUACACGAAUCACCCCUCGAUCUGUCUUCUUCUGUUUCCUUUCUACAAGAAUAGAUCCAACCCCAUGGUCUCAACAAUGUACUCUCUCAAAGCAUGGUAUGGUGGAUCCAGCAUUUAUUUCCUGAGUUAACACAUCGAAGAAGAAGAAGUUUUUUCUGUUAGCCAAGUCUAUGGUAGCUGUGACAUAGUCUUGUCAAUACCCAUGUGGCAUCCUGUGUUAUAAUGUGGUUCAGAAUCAGCACAUAAGGAUUGCAAGUGGGUGAUCUACCCUGCUCCAUGAACAGGCAUUUGUACUGAAGUUGUCUAGUUUAUUAUUUAACACAAAUCACAUGGGGUUCUCUUGGGAAAGUAGGCCAAGAUAGGCUUGGCUAAAAUCUCCUUAUAAGUCAUCAUUUUGCAGAUUCACAGUGACCAGUGCCUCAUUAUUGACUCUAAGAAGAUGAAGGGGGAUUAACUUAACUUUGUAUAAUCCACUGUUUCUCAACCCUGAAGAAUGGUAGAAUCCUUUCCUUACCUGUUCAUAUCCUGAAGAAGUAGCUUUUAGUAGCACUUCUGUAAGGAAAUAAAGGUUUAGUUUAAUGUCCUCUGCCAACUAUGGAGAAGCUAUCAGUCUUGUUUUACAGAUGAUAAGACAGAUCCAUCUUACUGGCCUUGACCUAAGCCUUGACAUUCCUGCAGCUCUGGUUGACACUGUGACUGGCCUGUAGAAGACUCUAAAACAGAAAACAAGGCCAAGCCAUCCUUUGAUAGACCAGUGACAUAACCAUCAGAUAAAAAAUACUAUCUUAAGGGACUUCAUUUGGUCUAAUUUCCCCUUUGCCACAGACCCAAGCUCCAUCGUUUGGUUAUUCUCUCACAAUUAGAGUGAGGGCAGCUGAUUUUCAAGGUUCUUAUACCACUCUCUUUGUUCAAAAGAGUUAGUUUUUUUUAUUUUAAUUUCCAUCUCCAGCUUUCCAUUAGAAAGAAUGUUCACAUUACUGAAUAAACAUAUCCUGUCUGUAACAUUGGGGCAGGACAGUCUAGAGAUGGAUUCUUAAUAAAAAGAAUGAGACACACUAAGAGGAAACAAAAAUAUACCAUUUCUAAUUCCAGAUUCUCCAACCUGACCCAAUGCAAUCAUUGUGUCGCAACUCUAAGGACAACCAAGCCACUUCUGUUUUGAAGGGCUCUAGUAGAUGAGAUAAAUGGAUCUUUUUGUUUCUAAUAGAAAUAUUCACUACAUACACUAAUAAUAUUUUAUACCAUCAUGUGAAAAAGAAACUUGAACAAAACAGAACGGAAGGGACAGAAACUUAGUUUGGGAUUUGGGACUUCUCCAUGACGAGCUCCAAAUUUGUAAUUGGCUAAAGCUUGUUUUUUCUUCUAUAAGUUGGUAGCUUGGCGAAUCCCCACUGAGUUCGAGGCGGUAAGUUAAGAAGUACAUCAGAGAGUCUACAAGAGCGUAUGAGUGAAUACUGUGUGGUGAAAUGUCUGGUGGCAGCAACAAAGGCGUUUUCUCCUUCAGGUACCAGGGAAGCUAACGACUAAACUUUGAACCACUGUGUGAUUCAUCCAGUCCGUAUGGAGACCUCGCAAAGGACCCUUUUUCCUCAGAUGAGCAGACCCUUCGAGAGACAAGCACUCCUCGGUUCCUCUGAUUCAGAAUCUAAGUUUCUGGAUGAGCUAGGGGCGCACUGCUAAACUUCUCAGCACCUUGGUUUUCUAAGCCGAUGUUGCCCUUCUGCGGAUGGAUGGAUUAGCUAUCAUGGCGCCUACUCAGAGUGAGGAAUGGUUUAACGAGUUUCAGAGCAUCCAGUAAAAGGAGAUUCCUGAAGGAAAUCAGUGAAGAAUGCGCCUGCUACUGUUGUGUGCGGGCAUCAGGGUUCUAGUGAUUACAUGGGGAACAGGAGGAAGAAGAGACGCUUUCCUGGUUUUCUACACUGUCCUGGAGGCUUAUGCUGCUUGGUACAGCUGAGGUAAUAACGUUGGGGGAAGUAGGGAGGUGUGGGGGAAAAGGCUAUCUGAAGCUGAUUUUCUUCCAACAGCAAGUGUAGAGUGAGGCACUGAGUGAAGAAUUAGAAGACAAAGGAAUGUUCCAAGGAUGUUUGCCUUGUAUGCCUCAAAUAUUCUUGGGUUCACUUAAGAGAGUUGAGCAUGGUGUAUGCUUAUUAGCUAGCCUCCUAGGCUACCAGGACCAUUCGUUACCCAGCUUCCUUUUUCUGCAAGCUCACCUCUGUUUUAAGACAAUUCAACUCCUGGUGCUGUCCCUUAGCCUGGACACUGCCUGUGGUGUUCUCUCUUCUUUUGCUUAAGGUUAGUCCUUACUGCUGGCUGCAGAUUGGAACCUGGGAGGCCUCUAAAGUCUCCGUGCCUGGGCCCGACUCCCAGUCUAGCAAACAGAAUCUCAAGAGGCAGAAUCCAAACAAGGGAGAUCUGGAAAUUUCUCUGUUAUUUUAAUAGCCAAUGAGAGCCAUUGGUCUGGGGUACCCAGACAGACUAUAGUUGUUUUAUAAUUCAGAACUGGAGGUUCUUCUGGGAUGAUUAGAGACUCACUAAGCUAAGAGACAGCCCUCAUAUUAACAUUCUAAAAACAAGGAGUUGAACAGACAUAGGUGCCUGACUGGAAAGGAAAAGGGCCAGCCAAAGAGGGAGGUCACGAGAACAGACCCCAUUCGACAAAAGGAAAGGAAAGGGGUUCACAGUCUUCUGGAACAUAUACUGCUAGAUAUGGUGUCUAAAGUCAAGGCUGUUAUGAAUGAUUUAGCCCUUCAGGGAGAUUCUUUGCAGUGCAAUCAAUUUUUCUUAUCCUCUCUCUGAAUAGUCAGACUGAAAUAGUCAAACCCCAGGAGUAGAACUGACAUUACAAACAGAAGCAAAGAGAAAGUUCUGAUCUUCUAUUGUGUUGCUGAUAAAACCAAAAAUUGAUUGAGACACCCCUGGGGGGACGGAAGCAAACUUAGGUCCUGUUCCUGCCGAGCGUUAUGAUAAUUUCCUCUGUACAUUCUACUCAGGAGAUAUGUAAUCUACAUUUAAUGUGUGUUCGGACAAGGGACCAGAAGCUUGGUUUUUAAAAGCUGCUUCUAGAUAAAGAUUCAGAGGCCGUACGGCAAGCCCACAGUUUAUUUUUCCUUGGGAAGUUUUGCUAUUGUGACAGAAAAACAUGGCAGCUCAAGAGUGUUUCUGUUCUUGAUAGGAAUGACCUUAGUCCUUGUCCCGAAGGGUUCCAGCUUAUAUUUGUUACCUCAGCUUAAUUACCAAUGACUUGCAUAUUCAUCUGUGUUCUGGGUCACCCUUGUCAUCCUAGAGUGGACCCGUGUGCCUGGAAGGUGAGACCUGUGUUCUAGUGCGAUCUUUUCCAUUCAUCAACUCCAUACACAGAAAAUGACUUCUGCUUAGCACUUAGUGUUCUUUUUAGUGACAUAAAGGAGAUCGAAUUCAGGGAUCCAAGAUCUCGCCUCCUGGCCAGGGAGCACUACCUCAUGCAGAUUUUUGUAUGACUUUUGUAUGAAUGCCAGCGUAUGUAUCUUUGUGUAUUGUUUUUCCUGGAGACAGUUCUGCUGGCUGUCAUUAUAUUUUCAGAAGGUCAUGAUUACAGAACGGUCAAAAUUUUCAAUGGAUAAAAUCUGCAGAACCCUUUACCUCUGUAGAUUGGAUGAUUUUUUUUUAAAUAGAACUUAGAAGUCAGUUAAACUAUUGCAUGAGAAUAUUUCCACAGUGACAAUUGAUUUUCCUUGUACCAAACCAGUAAAUGGAAUCUUAUAUUUAGAGACAGGCAGCCCACACAGUGCAAUCACAGAAGGACUCUCUAGUGAGACAGACAGGAACCCAGCAGUUGGGGAUCUAUCUCCCGUCGGAAGAGCAUAGGGAGGUAGGAAAGAGACCCCUGGGAGAAGGCAGGGGUUUCUGUGAAGUGUGGAUGACUCGCAAGACAACCCAUAAAGUAUCUGCAGCUCCGUGUGAGGUGAACAGAAAAGAGUAAACGAUAGGCAGGGAAGUAGUUGUUAUACAUGAAGAGAAAAGGCUGUGAGCAGAGGGUCUGCAGAAAUGUUUCAGCUUUGCCAUUUUAACUGCUGGGUGACCUUGGGCGGAUGGGUUUCUUUGGGUGUAGAGCCUGAACGAAGCUGCAGGGCUUGAACUGCAUGAUUUGGGCCCCACCUUGCUCACUUUGGCUCACUUCCCACUUUGGCCAUGCCUGAUAGAAUCACCCCAUCUCUAUUUUUUCCUUAGAAUUAGCUCAUUUGCCGAAGGCUUUGAAGUACUGUAUCCUUUCCGUAAAGUACGUCUCAUGAUGAAUAUUCGUUUGCUGGGUAUUAGAGCACAGGCCUGUAAUCAGGAGUCUGAGGCAAGAGGAUUAUAAACUCAUGGUCUGCCUGGGCUGUAGAGGGAAUUCAAGGCCAGUCUAGGCGAGUUAGUGAGACUCUAUCUCACUAUAAAAAGGUAUAAAACAGAACUCAAGAUACAGCUUAGGGAUACAGUGUUUGCCUAGCAUGGCCGCUCACGCUCCAGUACCACAACCACAGCCGCAGCAACAACAGAAUGAAUAUUUAUCACCACACUAACCUAUUAUAGAGAAAAAUGUUGCUUUGCAAUUAUGGGCAAAGGUGUUCUUAGUGGGGUGUGUGUGUGUGUG